UACGUAGGUGGCAAGCGUUGUCCGGAUUUACUGGGCGUAAAGAGCGCGCAGGCGGUCGCUCAAGUCGCGUGUGAAAGCCCCCGGCUCAACUGGGGAGGGUCACGCGAUACUGAUCGACUGGAAGGCAGGAGAGGGUAGUGGAAUUCCCGGUGUAGUGGUGAAAUGCGUAGAUAUCAGGAGGAACACCGGUGGCGAAGGCGGUUCUCUGGGCAUUACCUGACGCUGAGGAGCGAAAGUGUGGGGAGCGAACAGG
rnacentral:rRNA from 1 species